CUAUGUUUCUAUAUAUGUACAAUUUACGGGCUUAUAUCGUACUACAUAUUCUACGCUGUAAUUUCUAAUUUCAUCAAAGAUAAUCUGAAUAAAGAAGUAUAUGUGUACGGUAUGCAGUAAUUCAUAGAGCUCCCCAUUGUCUAGCUCUCUGCACUCCUCACAGAAUCCAGAAAUAGUAAAAUUCAAUAUACAUUAUAUACAUUAUUGGUUUUAAAUAAAUGUACUUUAGAAUUCCAAAUCGUACCGUUGCAUUUUUGUCACGAUAUGUGAAAACUAACUGAUCAUUCGAACA